rnacentral:rRNA from 1 species
UACGGAGGGUGCGAGCGUUGUCCGGAAUCAUUGGGCGUAAAGGGCGCGUAGGUGGCCCAGUCAGUCUUUGGUGAAAGCGCGGGGCUCAACCCUGCGUCGGCCAGGGAUACUGCUGCGGCUCGAGCACUGUAGAGGCAGGCGGAAUUCCGGGUGUAGCGGUGGAAUGGCGUAGAGAUCCGGAAAGAACACCGGUGGCGAAGGCGGCCUGCUGGGCA